AUUCGNAGCGNAANGGAUUGCAGNAGCUUGGCUCCUCAANCAAGUUUAGCGGCGGGCACGGGNGCANUAACACGUGGGAUAACCUGCCCAUAAGACUGGGAUAACUCCGGGAAACCGGGGCUAAUACCGGAUAAUAUUUUGAACUGCAUGGAUUCGAAAUUGAAAGGCGGCUUCGGCUGUCACUUAUGGAUGGACCCGCGUCGCAUUAGCUAGUUGGUGAGGUAACGGCUCACCAAGGCAACGAUGCGUANCCGACCUGAGAGGGUGAUCGGCCACACUGGGACUGAGACACGGCCCANACUCCUACGGGAGGCAGCAGUAGGGAAUCUUCCGCAAUGGACGAAAGUCUGACGGAGCAACGCCGCGUGAGUGAUGAAGGCUUUCGGGUCGUAAAACUCUGUUGUUAGGGAAGAACAAGUGCUAGUUGAAUAAGCUGGCACCUUGACGGUACCUAACCAGAAAGCCACGGCUAACUACGUGCCAGCAGCCGCGGUAAUACGUAGGUGGCAAGCGUUAUCCGGAAUUAUUGGGCGUAAAGCGCGCGCAGGUGGUUUCUUAAGUCUGAUGUGAAAGCCCACGGCUCAACCGUGGAGGGUCAUU
rnacentral:rRNA from 1 species